rnacentral:rRNA from 1 species
CCCAAGAGAUCGGGAUAACACCUGGAAACAAGAUGCUAAUACCGGAUAACAACAGAUGAUGCCUAUCAACUGUUUAAAAGAUGGUUCUGCUAUCACUCUUGGAUGGACCUGCGGUGCAUUAGCUAGUUGGUAGGGUAACGGCCUACCAAGGCGAUGAUGCAUAGCCGAGUUGAGAGACUGAUCGGCCACAUUGGGACUGAGACACCGGCCCAAACUCCACGGGAGGCAGCAGAA